CCCUUCGGGGUACUCGAGUGGCGAACGGGUGAGUAACACGUGGGUGAUCUGCCCUGCACUUUGGGAUAAGCCUGGGAAACUGGGUCUAAUACCGGAUAGGACUACGGCCUGCAUGGGUUGUGGUGGAAAGCUUUUGCGGUGUGGGAUGGGCCCGCGGCCUAUCAGCUUGUUGGUGGGGUGAUGGCCUACCAAGGCGACGACGGGUAGCCGGCCUGAGAGGGUGACCGGCCACACUGGGACUGAGAUACGGCCCAGACUCCUACGGGAGGCAGCAGUGGGGAAUAUUGCACAAUGGGCGCAAGCCUGAUGCAGCGACGCCGCGUGGGGGAUGACGGCUUCGGGUUGUAAACCUCUUUCAGUAGGGACGAAGCGUAAGUGACGGUACCUAUAGA
rnacentral:rRNA from 1 species